rnacentral:rRNA from 1 species
GACGAACGCUGGCGGCGUGCUUAACACAUGCAAGUCGAACGGAAAGGCCCUGCUUUUGUGGGGUGCUCGAGUGGCGAACGGGUGAGUAACACGUGAGUAACCUGCCCUUGACUUUGGGAUAACUUCAGGAAACUGGGGCUAAUACCGGAUAGGAGCUCCUGCUGCAUGGUGGGGGUUGGAAAGUUUCGGCGGUUGGGGAUGGACUCGCGGCUUAUCAGCUUGUUGGUGGGGUAGUGGCUUACCAAGGGUUUGACGGGUAGCCGGCCUGAGAGGGUGACCGGCCACAUUGGGACUGAGAUACGGACCAGACGCCUACGGGAGGCAGCAGUGGGGAAUAUUGCACAAUGGGCGGAAGCCUGAUGCAGCAACGCCGCGUGCGGGAUAACGGCCUUCGGGUUGUAAACCGCUUUCGCCUGUGACGAAGCGUGAGUGACGGUAAUGGGUAAAGAAGCACCGGCUAACUACGUG